CUUUUUCACCUCCUUCAUACAUUCCAUCUUCUUUCUUUUCAUUUUCUGUACUUUGCAGACAGAAUAGACAAAGGCUACAAUAUGAUCUGAUCAUCAACAAGAACCAAAGAUGGCCUCCAGUCAAUCAUCCUGCAGGAGCCGCAGGAAUGCCUCAUGUAUCACAGUAGCAACUGAAGGCUGAGCUCUUUUAGUGAGAGGAGAAAAGCUUAGUCUGAGGAAGAUUAAAGUAGGAGUGUAGGACUUUCGCCAUCUGGGGUAUACUGAUGCGACUAGCAUUUCCUGUAUGACCUUGGUUUCCCUUUCAGUGGCUAAAGUACACUCGACUUUUUAUCGUCGUGUCAUCUACAACGUUGUGAGGUUUGUGGUAUGCAGUAAUCAGCCCUAUGAGUAAGCCUCCAGCAAUUCAUCAAAAUUACCAUUUAAGAGUUCUUACUCUUUUAUGGCUUGAGCAGCUUCAGCUGGAGAACCUUCUGCUCCAGAGCGAUACUCCAAAACUUGAUGGAAAAAAAACCAAAAAG
rnacentral:lncRNA from 13 species